rnacentral:rRNA from 1 species
UACAGAGACUGCAAGCGUUGUUCGGAUUCACUGGGCGUAAAGGGUGCGCAGGCGGCCAGAUGUGUCGGAUGUGAAAGCUCGAGGCUCAACCUCGAAACUGCGUCCGAAACUAUUUGGCUAGAGUGCUGGAGAGGGAAGUGGAAUUCAUGGUGUAGCAGUGAAAUGCGUAGAUAUCAUGAGGAAUACCAGGGGCGAAGGCGGCUACCUGGACAAUUGCUGACGCUCAGGCACGAAAGCGUGGGGAGCAAAAGGG